UCCCCCCCCUCCCCACUCCCUCUCCCUUGGAUGGCAGGUCAGGCAGUGAGCUGUGCGGGCUCAGAGGAGCCAGUGUCUGUUCCGGAGACAAUCCAGGAGUUGGCAUUGCACUUGAUGGCAGAGCUUUGGGAAGGGAGUGGAGGAAGAGUCCUACUGGAACCACCGGAACGCCGCUCCUGUAGGAAGCAUCACCUUCUUGGAGAAACGGAAGAUGAGAGGAGAGGAGAGGAGGAGUGGCACACAUGCAUGCAGCUGCAGGGCUCAGCAGCGGCCUGCCAGUCAGGAGAUAGAGAGCCACUCGGGUCCCCCGAGCUGCAGCGCGGCUGGCGUCCUCUGCAACUCGAUUCUGCAGCAUGGAUUCUUCCGUCAGCAGGCUCUGCCUGGAGCGAGGCAGGAGGAGCUCGGCAAACAUUUAUGCACCCACACACACUCUCGCACCAAACCAAUAUGUAUUCAAGUACAGCCACACACCUCCACACACAGUGGCACGUUAACCGACACUCACAGUACACCCCCUGA
rnacentral:lncRNA from 1 species